GCCUGCCUACGGGGCGCAGCAGUGGGGAAUAUUGCACAAUGGGGGAAACCCUGAUGCAGCGACGCCGCGUGGGUGACGAAGUAUUUCGGUAUGUAAAGCCCUAUCAGCGGGGAAGAAGAUGACAGUACCUGACUAAGAAGCCCCGGCUAACUACGUGCCAGCAGCCGCGGUAAUACGUAGGGGGCAAGCGUUAUCCGGAUUUACUGGGUGUAAAGGGAGCGUAGGUGGCAUGGCAAGCCAGAAGUGAAAACCCGGGGUUUAACCCCGCAGAUUGCUUUUGGAACUGUCAGGCUGGAG
rnacentral:rRNA from 1 species